CCCAAGCAGAAACUAUUAGAAGAGACACCGCAUCGUGUCUCUUUCCUGCAUUUAAACAAUGAAAGAAAUCCAUUACUGCCAGCCGGCAGAGCGGUAUUUUCAUCCAUUCUGAACCAUGGAGAAUAGGAGCAAACAAGUACUAAAGGCAAAGCAAACCCUACCUGGGAUGAGGAUUACUCACUUUAGCGCUGGCUGAGAUCACACUCCGGAUCUAUGAUGGUCAGGGCAGGAGCAGCGUCCCUACGUCCCGUACGCACAGAAGCUGGUGUGCAACUGAAAUCCUUGGGAAACCAAACUCCUGGACCCACCCAUUUCCGUUGCCAGAAUGGAGCCGCGCUCGACUAAAGAAAUAGCCCAAUGUGCCUUCUCUCUCUCUCUCUUAUCUCUCCCACUGAAGCUAAACUUCAGAGGCCACCGGUAAAGAUCAACUUGCCCAGUUUUAGGGCACUGAUCGCAUUCAGACUGGGUAAAACGCUUUGCACAGCAACCCUCCUUGGCUCAGGGAUGCCGUCCGAAUCAGUCUGGAUUUGAUGCCCGUUAAAAGGGCAGUAAAAGCGACUGAGAGAUAAACCGGCCGCUUGGAACCCGAGGAUUUCCCUCUAUUGUCUUGAGGUCACAAAGCGGGAUGGCGACUUCAGGGAGAAAAGGUGUUGCGGAGUUCUAAAUUCUAGAACGUUUGGUUUGCAGACCAGUACCAAGCCCUCCAGAGACACUCAGGAGCAUGGGACUGAGAUUAAAGCCUGGGAGCUGAACAAAGUAAAACAGACGGAAGGCAAGAUAUUGCCCAGUUAGACAACUCAGGAGAGAGUUCCAGUGUUGACAUUUUAAAUGUGGCGUAGGAUACCUGAAAUUACACAGGUAAGUGGCGGGAAGACCAAAGAAAACUCUACCACCGAAUUUGCCCUCUUGAAUUUAUUUAAUCCUAUCCUGAAAUCCUCACGAAUAGGAUCCUCAGAUUUCAAAGGGUGGAAGAAAAGGGGAAUAAAGCAUACUUUCAACCUACCAAAGACUAGUCUGUGACAAUGGCUUUUACAGUCAGACAACGACCCAAAAUAAAAGAGGGGUCCAACAAGAACUAGCAAAGGAAUGACAUAAGAUUCAUGUCCCAAUCCCUGCUACACAUACACAAACUUCAUUGCUUCGAUUGCAUUAUCGAGCUCUGCUGAUGUCAAUUUACUGCCAUAAAUAGUGAUAUAAUACCAGGUUGUAAAUUUGGAUCUAAAAGAAAUUAAGUCUAUCUUAAACUAUUGAGAGGUAUAGUUAGAAGAUAGUACAGUUGUGCUACAGCAAUGUAUUCUUUCACAAAUUAAAUAUCUGACACGAUUCCUUUUUAAAAAGCAGCACAGUUGGAAAUAGGGGGAAGGAGAAGCUUGUUUUAUAGUUACACUUCUUCAAAUGUUCUAUAUAAAUUGGUAUAUAUGUACAGCUGUAUUACUUGAAUGUUUUGACUUACUAAAUUAUAAUAGGACCAUAAAUACACUUGAAUCCUUUUCAAAUAAAAGAAUACAAUGUAGUAAUUAUAUCAGUACUGAUGUAAUGAAGUUCAUUUAUUGUUCACACUGAUUUGAGGGACUAGUUUAUAAUAAAUCCUCCAGAAAUAAAAUUUGAUGUAUUAAA